rnacentral:ncRNA from 1 species
AAGUUAUCAGGAAAGGCUGAGGGAAUAGACCCUGCGAAGCCUUAGCAACCCUCAGGAUUGAGAAGGUGCUAAAUUCUACCUAAAAAUUUUAGGAAAGAUAACCG